rnacentral:rRNA from 1 species
UAUAGCAGUGAGGAAUAUUGGUCAAUAGCCUAACGGCUGAACCAGCAACUUGGAGGAAUGUAUAGCAAUAGCUACUUGUAUCAUUAAUGAUGCAAGCUCGACUAUGUUGAAUAAAAUUCUAGGUAGAAUUAUGAUAAUGACAUUGUCUGCCUAUGUGUCUUGACCAAAUUACGUGCCAGCAGUCGCGGUAAUACGUAGAAGACUAGUGUUAUUCAUGUUUAAUCGGUUUAAAGGGUACCUAGACGGUGAAUCAAGCUUUAGAAUAAAGAAGAAAAGGAACUAAUUCGCUAGAGUUACUUACGAGGGGGUAGUAAAGUACUGCUGGUGUAGAGAUGAAAUUCUGUCAUACCUCUUUUCGAAAGAAAAAUUAUGGCACAGGUAUAGGCGAAGGCAUCCCCUUAUGUGAUAACUGACGUUGAAGGACGAAGGACUUCGUGGAACAAACAGGAUUAGAUACCCUAGUAGUUGAAGCAGAAAAUGAUGAAUGUCAUAGAUUAGACGUCUAAGUUUAUUCUAUAAAUGAAAGUGUAAGCAUUCCACCUCAUGAGUAAUUUGGCAACAUUGGAAUUGAAAUCAUUAGACCGUUUCUGAAACCAGUAGUGAAGUAUGUUGUUUAAUUUGAUAAUACGCAAAAAACCUUACCACAAUUUGAAUAUUUAUAUUGUUUAUUGUUAUCUUAUUAAUUUUCUUAAAAAAACUAAUUAUAGCAAAAGCAUUUUAAAACAGGAAAAGAAAAUUAAUCAAGAGGCAAUAACAUAUAUCUACAAGCGUUGCACGGCUGUCUUCAGUUAAUGUCGCGAGACUUUGGUUAGUUCCAUUAAAUUAACGUAAACCCUUACUUUAUUUUUUAUAUAGAGUAGUUCCCCGCUAUAUUGGAUAUGAUAACAGGGACUAAGACAAGUCAUCAUGGCCUAAAUAUUGUGGGCUAUAGACGUGCCAC